rnacentral:rRNA from 1 species
UACGUAGGGUGCGAGCGUUGUCCGUAAUUACUGGGCGUAAAGAGCUCGUAGGUGGUUUGUCGCGUUGUUCGUGAAAACCGGGGGCUUAACCCUCGGCGUGCGGGCGAUACGGGCAGACUGGAGUACUGCAGGGGAGACUGGAAUUCCUGGUGUAGCGGUGGAAUGCGCAGAUAUCAGGAGGAACACCGGUGGCGAGGGCGGGUCUCUGGGCAGUAACUGACGCUGAGGAGCGAAAGCGUGGGGAGCGAACAGG